CGUGCCGAUUCUCUCGCAACUGCGCAAACUCGGCCCCGGCUCUCCAGUCUCCUCCCAAAGGCUCCUCGCUCUAGUCAGGUUCCCUUGGGGCGCCUGUGUAUCCUGUGCUUUCUGUUCAUUCUACAAUAAACAUAAAAUUCUCUGCCUGGAGUUCAGAGCACAGCAAGGAAGAGAAGAAAAAGCCAGGACAGAAAAUCCACAAAGUAAAUAGGCCCCUGCAGGAGGCUGUCCGGGACAAAAGCUGGCCACUCCACUCCGCGCUGGGUCUAAUGUUCAAAGCCACGCACGGGAAGGUGGAAGCUUCUCAAGGGCAAGGCUGCUGUCUUUACGUGUUGUUAGUGUUUGCCACCAAAGGCUUUGAAAAGCGCUCCCUCCAGAGAUGAAGAAUCUGCUUUCUGGCCUAACCACCACUCUGCCCAAGCCCCGGGGGCUGCUUCCUGAGCCUCGGGGUUCCAGUGAGACUUGGAGCAGGUGUGACAGAGGGCGUGAGCCUCCUGAGCAAGAGGCUGGCUAACGAGCAGUCGCCGCAGCCCUUGGGCUUGAGAGACGUGACAGAGGUGCCACAGAGGCGCCGCACACACACCUUCCUGGAAGAGCCUGCCAGAUGCCUGUGCUCCCAGGCCUCUCAGUGCUGCGCGGCCUACACGCUGUGCAUCUCCUGACAGAGGUCACGAAGGAGACGUUUAUCUGUAUUUGUAUUCCUCCUCAAGGAUUCUGACGUUGGCCUAAUGCUAUCAUUCCCUUGGGAAUUAGGUUCACUUAAGGAGGCAAUUAGCAUUCUGGCUGCUAUGGGACAUUGUCCUCUCUGAACUCAAAAACAGACAGCUCCUGAAAGCAACUACUGGAAAGUCUCUGAGAACACGGCCUUUUAAAAUAUAAAUGUAACGUUUUAGUUAGAAAUCUCAACCUUUACCAAAAUGGUCUGAAUUGGUUGCUUGAAUAGAACUGACUCCCCUCCGUCACCGACAGCCACGCGAGGCCUUGGGCCAGAUGCCGCCCCAGAGCGGACGGUCCACGAGCCUUGGAGCUCUCAGUAAGGGAGCGGCUUUCUCCCCAGUCUCAGUCCAGAGGAUGUAGUGACUGUAAGUAUGUGCACACCGAUUCAGCGCUGACUAUCUGUGGGACUUGGGAAGUACAGGACCAUCAACCAAAAUCUCCCCCAGUCCCAGGACCAGAGACAGCCAGUGAUGCCCUGGCAAACCUCCAGCUCACAAGAGGAGGGCCCGCGGCCCCAGGAGGCUCAGGCCCUGCAGCCUGCCAGGGAAGGGAGAAGAGACCCAUCCUGGGGGUGGACCUGGCCUCACUUCUGCUCCAUGUGCUGACCAUAGCUGCUUAGAUGUAAAUGUGUUCAUUUUCAGCAGGAAGACUGCUUUAAGUCUACAGAAACAAGCAAAUAGUACAAAUUGCAAAGGACAUGGAAGCAUCUACUCCUAGGGGCCUCAGAGCCCAUGUGGAGCUCUGUGAGUCUCCCUCUUUACCUUCAAAACCCAAAGGAGCCAGCCCUAAAUUGCGGUGGGCUGGGAAAGGGCUCCUCAACGCAGGUUAGAAAAGACGGCCCAAACUGAAUACCGAGGCUUCACAAGGAGAAGAAAAAUUCCUUUUUAAGGCCUUGUUGCCCUGCCAUGUCUGAUGGCUGUUCCCUGUGAACUCAGUGGAUUCAGGCUGUGUCACCUCCAGAGCCCCCCACUCCCUCAGGUCCACGGGCCUUGCCUCGCCUGCUCCCUUGCCCUGCGCACUGCAGCGUGGGCCUCACACUCACCAGAGGCUCUUCCCUCCGAAACACCCACAGGCUCUCUGGGCCUGCCUGACUCCCUGCCUCCCACCCCUCUACCACUGUCUGUCACAGUGCUCCCCCGAAAUGAGAUAUUUUGUCUGUCUUCCCCAGUGGAAUGAAAAUCCCAAGUGGACAGGGCAUUUUGUCCUUUGCUCACUGCUGUAUCCCUCGUGCCUGGAACACUGCUUGGCACAUAACAGGUGUUCAACAAAAAGCUUGUGAAGUGAGUGACUCCCAAGCAAGUCACAGGCACUGAAUGAGGCAGAAGGAGGGCAGCUUACAGCCUCUUGCAUUUUAUUUAAAAAUGCACCUGUUGUAAGUAAGUAACAGUUAUGUCGGGAGCUGUCUCAGCUGCAUUACCGGCUGAAAAGGCAGAGUGAGUGUCCGGGACUGAAGGAUCCUGGUGAAUGCACUUUGUCCCCAAGGUCAAAUCCAAGGUGAUGUCAAUCAUUUUUUUCUGCCAGUUUCCAGUACCCGGUGACAGACCGAUAUUGAAAUCAUUACUUGAUGACUUAAGCUUGACUCCUAACAGUACUGGAAUCCAGCAGAUUCAUAGUAAGGUGAUGACUACAAAUGAGGGAGAUGAAAUCAUAGCGUAGGGGAGAUGGGGCAAAGCUGGAGGGCCAUUUAAUUGUGCUAAAGCACUGGAAUCUUUAACUAUUUUUAAUAAAACAUCUAAGAAAACACUAAGAUGCCUAAUAGUCUACCACCUUAAGCCAAGAGAAACUUGUUUUUUCUUUUAAUGGAACUAAAGAAACCAAUUAAGCCAAGGGAUGCUCU